rnacentral:rRNA from 1 species
CGUCCAGACUCCUACGGGAGGCAGCAGUGGGGAAUAUUGGGCAAUGGGGGAAACCCUGACCCAGCGACGCCGCGUGAGGGAAGAAGGUUUUCGGAUUGUAAACCUCUGUCCUUGGUGACGAUAAUGACGGUAGCCAAGGAGGAAGCCACGGCUAACUACGUGCCAGCAGCCGCGGUAAUACGUAGGGGGCGAGCGUUAUCCGGAUUCACUGGGUGUAAAGGGAGCGUAGACGGCCAUGCAAGCCAGGGGUGAAAGCCCGGGGCCCAACCCCGGGACUGCCCUUGGAACUGUGCGGCUAGAGUGCGGGAGGGGCAGGCGGAAUUCCUGGUGUAGCGGUGAAAUGCGUAGAUAUCAGGAGGAACACCGGUGGCGAAGGCGGCCUGCUGGACUGCGACUGACGUUGAGGCCCGAAAGCGUGGGGAGCAAACAGGAUUAGAUACCCCUGUACC